rnacentral:rRNA from 1 species
UAAUACGUAGGGUGCGAGCGUUAAUCGGAAUUACUGGGCGUAAAGCGUGCGCAGGCGGCUUUGCAAGACAGAUGUGAAAUCCCCGGGCUCAACCUGGGAACUGCAUUUGUGACUGCAAGGCUAGAGUACGGCAGAGGGGGAUGGAAUUCCGCGUGUAGCAGUGAAAUGCGUAGAUAUGCGGAGGAACACCAAUGGCGAAGGCAAUCCCCUGGGCCUGUACUGACGCUCAUGCACGAAAGCGUGGGGAGCAAACAGGAUUAGAUACCCUGGUAGUCCACGCCCUAAACGAUGUCAACUGGUUGUUGGACGGCUUGCUGUUCAGUAACGAAGCUAACGCGUGAAGUUGACCGCCUGGGGAGUACGGCCGCAAGGUUGAA